CACAAGCGGUGGAUGAUGUGGUUUAAUUCUGAUGCAACGCGAAAAACCUUACCCACCUUUGACAUGUACGGAAUCCUUUAGAGAUAGAGGAGUGCUCGAAAGAGAACCGUAACACAGGUGCUGCAUGGCUGUCGUCAGCUCGUGUCGUGAGAUGUUGGGUUAAGUCCCGCAACGAGCGCAACCCUUGUCAUUAGUUGCUACAUUCAGUUGGGCACUCUAAUGAGACUGCCGGUGACAAACCGGAGGAAGGUGGGGAUGACGUCCAGUCCUCAUGGCCCUUAUAU
rnacentral:rRNA from 1 species